UAGCUCAGUCAGUAAAGCAUCUGCCUGCAAUGCAGGAUACCUGGGUUCAAUUCCUGG
rnacentral:tRNA from 1 species